AAGAGUCAAGUUGUUUGGGAUUGCAGCUUAAAAUGGGAGGUAAAUUUCUCCUAAGGCUAAAUAACGGCGAGAGACCGAUAGCGAACAAGUACCGUGAGGGAAAGAUGAAAAGAACUUUGAAAAGAGAGUUAAACAGUACGUGAAAUUGUUGAAAGGGAAACGAUUGAAGCCAGUCGUACCUUCGGGUAAUCAGCCUUUUGGGUGUGAUUUUGUGGAGCGUGAAGAGUUAAACGCCUUCAUGCUUGCAUAUUCGUGCACUUUGGGUGUACUUGCCCGUGUGGUUGGUUAACAUCAAUUUUGGUGGUCAUAAAAUGACUGGGGGAAUGUAGCUUCGAUCUUGUAUUGAAGUGUUAUAGCCUUCGGUAGAUGUGAUGAUC
rnacentral:ncRNA from 1 species